CUCGCGGCUGUUGGGACUGCCGUGACGUCAGCCGCGCUGCGGCUUCUCACUCACUCAGAGGCAAGUGCUGAGCUAUUUGUGCUGUCUUACCUAGUCCCGUCCGCUCCCGACUCAACCGGUGCCCAGCCCGUUGCUGGAGAGGUACAUUCUGCAGAUCCCUGAUGAGCCAAGGGAACCCACCACCGUACCCGGGCCCGGGCCCGACAGCCCCGUACGCACCUUAUCCACAGCCACCAAUGGGGCCUGAGGCCUAUCCCCCGGGACCUAUGGGAGGACCUUACCCACCUCCUCAGGGGUACCCCUACCAAGGGUACCCACCAUAUGGCUGGCAAGGUGGACCUCAGGAGCCUCCUAAAACCACAGUGUACGUGGUGGAAGACCAAAGAAGGGAUGACCUGGGCCCCUCCACCUGCCUCACCGCCUGCUGGACUGCUCUCUGUUGCUGCUGUCUCUGGGACAUGCUCACCUGACCGGCCCGGCCCAGCCGUCCUGCCAGCUCUGCAGCCACCGCCAACAGGCGUGCCUGCCUCCAUCUCCUCUGAUUGCUGAAAUAAAUGACUAGCUCUGCACAGACACUUCUACCUUCGACACAGUGGGAUUCUAGAUUAGCAGGGGUUGCUGCUGUUUAAUUCAGUGACUUGAUCUUUCUAAUGUUCAAAAUCCAUUUCCUGUUGGCCUUUCACAAAUGUGCUAAAUGACCUUCCAUUGUUUUUGUUUUUGGCCAAAGGCUUAGUUGUGAAAUAUAUAUAUAUAUACAUAAUUUUUAAAUUAUACAUUCAAGAUAGUGGCAUAAUGUAACAUACUACUGAAUGAUUUCUCUGCUAACACCCUCUAUGUUUCAAUAAAUUUGUCUAAACCUCAA